UGAGUUGUGGCUCAGCAGUGGAGCACUUACCUACUACGUGUGAGGCUCUGGGUUCAAUCCUCAGCACCACAU
rfam:Ictidomys tridecemlineatus contig122670, whole genome shotgun sequence.